AUUGAACGCUGGCGGCAUGCCUUACACAUGCAAGUCGAACGGCAGCACGGGGCAACCUGGUGGCGAGUGGCGAACGGGUGAGUAAUGCAUCGGAACGUACCUUUCAGUGGGGGAUAACGUAGCGAAAGUUACGCUAAUACCGCAUCUUCUGUGAGCAGGAAAGCAGGGGAUCGCAAGACCUUGCGCUGUUUGGGCGGCCGAUGUCAGAUUAGCUAGUUGGUGAGGUAAAGGCUCACCAAGGCGACGAUCUGUAGCGGGUCUGAGAGGAUGAUCCGCCACACUGGAACUGAGACACGGUCCAGACUCCUACGGGAGGCAGCAGUGGGGAAUUUUGGACAAUGGGGGCAACCCUGAUCCAGCCAUGCCGCGUGAGUGAAGAAGGCCUUCGGGUUGUAAAGCUCUUUCGGCCGGGAAGAAAUCGCACGGGCUAAUACCCUGUGUGGAUGACGGUACCGGAAUAAGAAGCACCGGCUAACUACGUGCCAGCAGCCGCCGUAA
rnacentral:rRNA from 1 species